rnacentral:tRNA from 2 species
GCGGCAGUAGCUCAAUGGUAGAGCAUCAGCUUCCCAAGCUGAGGGUUGCGGGUUCGAUCCCCGUCUGCCGCU